GCCUCUGGAGCUCUUUUUAUGAGGCAGGAGCAAUUCGACUGUUAAUCGAGAGGUUGGUGGUUCAAGCCCACCUGGGAGCG